UACGGAGGGUGCAAGCGUUAUCCGGAUUUACUGGUUAAAGGGUGCGUAGGCGGGCCUUUAAGUCAGUGGUGAAAGCUCCGAGCUUAACUCGGAAACUGCCAUUGAUACUAUUGGUCUUGAAUUCGGUCGAGGUUGGCGGAAUGUGUCGUGUAGCGGUGAAAUGCUUAGAUAUGACACAGAACACCGAUUGCGAAGGCAGCUAGCUAGACCGACAUUGACGCUGAGGCACGAAAGCGUGGGGAUCAAACAGG
rnacentral:rRNA from 1 species